UUUGAAUCCCAUGGAACCCAGAAAUGAAGCUUGAUUAUUUUCAGGGAGAAGAAUGGAUCUCAAACAUGUGACUUGAAGCCACCAAGAAAGCAAAGAACACCUGCUAACUUGAAAAGGGACAAAAUGUGAGGACCUGAUUCCUCGAUCCCCACUGUGGCCAUUUCCCCCUCUGCUUUUAAUCUACAGGGUGCCUAGGUUUGAGGGGCACAUGCAGUGACAUCAGGAUGCUGCCUCUCUAGCUUUUGAAUCUGCUUCGUCAAAUUUC